CAUAUCAAUAAGCGGAGGAAAAGAAACCAACCGGGAUUGCCUCAGUAACGGCGAGUGAAGCGGCAAGAGCUCAAAUUUGAAAGCUGGCUCCUUCGGAGUCCGCAUUGUAAUUUGCAGAGGAUGCUUUGGGUGCGGCCCCCGUCUAAGUGCCCUGGAACGGGCCGUCAGAGAGGGUGAGAAUCCCGUCUUGGGCGGGGUGUCCGUGCCCGUGUAAAGCUCCUUCGACGAGUCGAGUUGUUUGGGAAUGCAGCUCUAAAUGGGUGGUAAAUUUCAUCUAAAGCUAAAUACUGGCCGGAGACCGAUAGCGCACAAGUAGAGUGAUCGAAAGAUGAAAAGCACUUUGAAAAGAGAGUUAAACAGCACGUGAAAUUGUUGAAAGGGAAGCGCUUGCGACCAGACUCGCCCGCGGGGUUCAGCCGGCAUUCGUGCCGGUGUACUUCCCCGUGGGCGGGCCAGCGUCGGUUUGGGCGGCCGGUCAAAGGCCCCUGGAAUGUAGUGCCCUCCGGGGCACCUUAUAGCCAGGGGUGCAAUGCGGCCAGCCUGGACCGAGGAACGCGCUUCGGCACGGACGCUGGCAUAAUGGUCGUAAACGACCCG
rnacentral:rRNA from 1 species